AUGAAUGGAUCUAGUCAGAGGCCUUUGACUUUGACAAGACAUCCAGGAUGUGGGAAAGGGAAAAGGAAUGGAGAAAUGUCUGAGAGCAAUGGCAUAUACAUCUCAGCGGCAUGCUCUGCCUCUUCACACCAGGUGGGAGGUCUGAAGGUGGAUUCCCUACCCAACCAGCUGUUGGCUUGUGGUUAUAAAGUCCAGCAUGGAAAGAAGCAGCUUCAGGAACUGAAUGAAGGUGAAAGAAGUAACUGCCUUGUCCUGGCCUUGAUACCAUACUAUUGCAGUCUGAUUUCCCACCUUAAUGAUGCUUACCACCCACCAUGUGCUUAAAUGUCCCCUGCUCGCUUACAAAAGUAGCAAAUGAGAGAAGCUGAUUAAUCUUCAUUGGUGAUCAAGGUAAAAAAAAAUCACUCUCAACUUAACAGAAAAAACUCUGUAGUAAUAUAAUAGUUUUCAUUGGUUUUUGAUCCUCUUACUUGAAUUAAAAGUUCAAUUGUAGCCACUUCUACAAGUAAGGAGCUUGAAAAUGGCCACUCUGUCCUAACAAGCUGAACAGACGUAAAAUCCAAAAACUCUGUUUGGGUUCAUAAGAAGGGAGGACUCAGAGAAAAUUACUACUUCCAAGAUUGGAGAAAAAGGUGGGCAAAUCCAGAGGGUUAUAGCUCAAACCAGAACAGAGAUUCAUCAGUGGAAACCACUAAGGGAACCAGGAAAAGCUGGACUAUAAUUGAUGAAUUGGUGAAGGCUCAGUGUGGACAACUGAGAAUUAAAAACUCAAGAGGACUCAGUUAUAGGAGGGUCCUCAUACUUUUUGCAUUUUAUCUCCAGGUGAUUGAGCUGGUUCUCACAGGAAAUAUCAGAGAAAAAGUCUCUAGUGCUUCCAGCAAUAAAGUUGAGAACAUUUGGAGCACUCCAUUCUUCUUAACAAGGUCUGCACUCAGUAAAAGCUAGUUGACUAGAGCUUAAUCUCCUGGGCUUUUAUUAGAGCCUAUUUUCAUCUGACUUGGAGGAAGAAAAACACCCAACUCCAGCCAGUUCUAGCCACCCUACUCCACCUAAAGGGGGAGGGAGGACACAGAAACACUUUUGAAGUUCACAGUCCAGAGGCACAGGCUCACUAAAAACAGAGACCUAAUGGACUAGAGAAUACCUCCCCUUCCUAAUACCUUACUGACACAUUUUUAAAGGCCUAUUUGCAGUAGUAAAAUGAUGAGGCAUACUAAAACACAAAAAGACAGAAUUUGAAGAUACAGAGCAAGCAUCAGAACCAGACAUGGCAGGAAUGUUGGUAUUAUCAGACUGAGAAUUUUAAACUAUGAUUAAGUGCUCUGUCAGAUAAAGUAGACAGCAUGCAAGAACAGAUGGGCAAUGCAACCAGAGAGAUGGAAAGCCUAUGAAAGAACCAAGGCUGGGCGUCGUGGCUCACGCCUGUAAUUCCUAGCACUUUGGGAGGCCAAGGUCGGCGGAUCACGAGGUCAGGAGAUCGAGACCAUCCUGGCCAACAUGGUGAAACCCCUUCUCUGCUAAAAUACAAAAAAUUAGCUAUGCGUGGUGGCGUAUGCCUGUAGUACCAGCUACUCGGGAGGCUGAGGCAGGGGAAUCACUUGAACCCCGGAGGUGGAGAUUGCAGUGAGUCAAAAUCGUGCCACUGCAUUCUAGCCUGGUGACAGAGGAAGACUCUGUCUCACAAAAAAAAAAAAAAAAAAAAAGAGAAGGAAGAACCAAAAAGAAAUGCUAAAGUUCAAAAACAGUCUGACAGUGUAGGGGAAUCUUACAAUUUUAAGUUGCCUCAGCAUACAUUUUGAAUGUAAGUUUAACUUUGUCAUGCCACAGCAGGGCUCAGUCACCCUCGCACAGUUUACAGUUCUACACCACACCCAAACAGCCUAAGUCAGUGGUCAGAGAUAAGAACUUAGUGGCAUCUCUCCCACCUAGCAGACUGGGCUCCCUGCUUUCCGGCCAUUUCGUAUAAAUCAUUCAAGCAUUUUCCUGUGAACUUAAAGUGACACAUACCCUAUUCCCUUAUAUAGUCUGCCAGUUGCCCACGUGAUUUCUCUCGUUCUUUGCCUAACUCUUCAUUCCUGCCUCAUUACACCUUUCCUGCCUAGGAGCUGUAAGUAAAGUCUUUGAAGUGCUUGCCUAUUGUGGUGGUGUACUACAUUCGAAGAAGGAGGAGUUGCCCCAUGCCAGAUGUUUUCUGGGUAGCUGGGAAGAAGACAAGCUCAGGUUCUCAGGACCAGGGGGAUGGUCAGGCAGGCAUAAGCUGUGCACAGGUGAGAAAAAACUCACGCAGGCAUCUGCCAGUAUAAACAGGUUUCCCAUGUGAGGGAUACCCUGGUCAUGGAUUGGAGAUAUAAGCAUUAUUCCAUCUGCCAGGAAAAAGAAUUGCCUCGUGAAUGACAAAUUGUAAACACCCACGACCAGUUUCAUUUCCCAUCAGGGCAAGGCUGCUAGCUGCUAUGGUACUGGAAGCUGAGUUUAGAUAGAAGUUCUCAGAAAUCAAACAAAAACUGAAAAAUGCCUUUGAUGUUAUUAUUGGUAGACCAGACAAAGCUGAAGAAAAAAUUUCUGAGCAUGAGGAUUUAUCAAUGAAAACUUUCAAAACUGAAAAGAAAAGAGAAUAAGAACUAGGAAAAAAAGAGAACAGAAUGUCAAAGACAGCAAGAUAACUACAAAAUGUGUAACAUCCAUGUAAUGGAAAUAUCAGAAAAAGAAAAGAGGGAAAGAAAGAGAAGAAAUAUUUGAACAACAAUGACUGAGAAUUUAUUCACAUUAAUGUCAGACAUCAAACUACAGAUGCAAGAAGCGCAGAGAACACCACCUAGGAUAAAUGCUGGAUUACACCUAGGCAUAUCAUUUCAAACUACAGAAAAUCAAAGGUAAAGAAAAUAUCCUGAAAUAAACCAGAGGAAAAAAAAAAUACCUUACCUCAAGAAUUUAGAAAAAAACCCCACCAACCUAGAAUUCUGUUCCUUGCAAAUUAUCCUUCAAAAGUGAAGCAGAAAUAGAGACUUUCUCAAACAAAGAAAAAUUGAGGGAAUGUGUUAUCAGUGGACCGGCUUUGCAAUAAAUUUUAAAAGGAUUUUUUGUUAGUGAGAAGGAAAAUAAUAUAGAUCAGAAACUUAGAUCUAAAUAAAGGAAAUUUCUCAGAGAAGAAAUAAGUAAAGGUAAAAUAAAAACUUUUUUAAAGUCCAUAAUUUAACAUAUAACAGUUUUCUCAAAAUAAAAAUAGCAACAAGUAUAACUGAUAUGCUAAGAAAUGAGAGAAAACAGAAUUCUAUAAAAUGCUCAGUUAAAACCACAAAAGGUAGAAAAAGAGUGGAAAACAAAAUUGGGAAUGAAGAAAAAGAGCAACAAGUAGAAAACAGUUAUAAGUAUGGUAGAUAUUAAUCUAAUUACAUCACUAAUCACAUUCAAUGUCAAUAGUUUAAAUGCACCAUUAACAGACAUAGCUUGGGCCUGGCGUGGUGGCUCAUGCCUGUAAUCUCAGCACUCUGGGAGGUUGAGGCAGGCAGAUCACGAGGUCAGGAGAUUGAGACCAUCCUGACUAACACGGUGAAACCCCAUCUCUACCAAAAAUACAAAAAAUUAGCUGGGCGUGGUGGUGGGCGCCUGUAGUCCCAGCUACUCGGGAGGCUGAGGCAGGAGAAUGGCAUGAACCUGGGAGAUGGAACUUGCAGUGAGCUGAGAUUGCGCCACUGCACUCCAGCCUGGGCGACAGAACAAGACUCCAUCUCAAAACAAAAACAAAAACAAAAACAAAAAACAGAGCUUGUCAGAGUGGAUCAAAAAGCAAGAACCAAAAAUAUGUUGUCUACAAGAAAUCCAUUUUAUUCUUUAAAAAAAAUUUUUCAAACCAAGAUACAUUGUAAUAUAAAGUGGAUAUUAGACCAAUGCAAAUUUUGCAUCAUGCCAAAACAGUUCAUUUAAAUCAUUACCACACACAAGAAAACUAUUUUAUUAAUGGCUAUGGCUUAUUACAUCUGCUAAGAUACAAGCAAAAAGUUCUAACUAUUAAUUUGAAUUGGAGUCUCUAAUUCUCUCAGAUCCUGUGAUGCAUUGUAAAAGGGAAGCAUGUGAUUUUUGGCAAAAUAAAGUCACCCUUGACUUCUUAUAUAUAUAUAAUUUAAUAUAUCUUAUAUAUAUUAAAUUAA
ensembl:lncRNA